CUAUACAUGACUCUGCGCAUAUCAAUAAGCGGAGGAAAAGAAACUAACAAGGAUUCCCUUAGUAACGGCGAGUGAAGCGGGAAGAGCUCAAAUUUGAAAUCUUCAAGGUUUUACCUUGACGAAUUGUAGUUUAAAGAAGUGUUUUCUGCUGAAGUUUUGGUAAAAGUUCUUUGGAAUAGGACAUCAUAGAGGGUGAGAAUCCCGUAUUUGACCUUUACUUUCAACUUUGUGAUACACUUUCAAAGAGUCGGACUGUUUGGGAAUGCAGUCCAAAAUGGGUGGUAAAUUUCAUCUAAAGCUAAAUAUUGGCGAGAGACCGAUAGCGAACAAGUACCGUGAGGGAAAGAUGAAAAGAACUUUGAAAAGAGAGUUAAACAGUACGUGAAAUUGUCAAAAGGGAAGCGUUUGACACCAGCGUUGUUUUUCUGAAAAUCAAUUAAAAAUGGCUCGAUUUUGUAUUGCUUGAGACCUUAAAAGCUCACUGUAGCAUUUUUCGUGUCUUUUUUAAUGCACUUUUCGUUUAACAAGUCAACAUCAGUUUCUUUUGUUGUAAAAGGGUCAUUGGAAGGUGGCUUUCUUUUCGGAGAAAGUGUUUAUAGCCUUUGGCCUCUGCAAUCGGAGAGACUGAGGUCUGCAGCGUAGACUCUUCGGGGUUAGAUACAUUUGUGCUAAGUUAUAGCUUUUUAUAGACAACUUGUUGACUAUAAUUAGUCUUGUAGCUUACUCGCUUAUGCUAUUUUACCUACGCUUAGGAUGUUGACAGCAGUAUAGACUGUA
rnacentral:rRNA from 1 species